GUGGGGAAUAUUGGACAAUGGGCGAAAGCCUGAUCCAGCCAUGCCGCGUGAGUGAUGAAGGCCUUAGGGUUGUAAAGCUCUUUCAGUAGGGAAGAUAAUGACGGUACCUACAGAAGAAGCCCCGGCUAACUUCGUGCCAGCAGCCGCGGUAAUACGAAGGGGGCUAGCGUUGUUCGGAUUUACUGGGCGUAAAGCGCACGUAGGCGGAUUGGUCAGUUAGAGGUGAAAUCCUGGAGCUCAACUCCAGAACUGCCUUUAAUACUGCCAGUCUAGAGUCCAGAAGAGGUGAGUGGAACUCCUAGUGUAGAGGUGGAAUUCGUAGAUAUUAGGAAGAACACCGGUGGCGAAGGCGGCACACUGGCCCAGCACUGACGCUGAGGCGCGAAAGCGUGGGGAGCGAACGGGAUUAGAUACCCGAGUAGUCC
rnacentral:rRNA from 1 species